rnacentral:rRNA from 1 species
CUACUUCUUUUCAGAAUGGAAGAGUUUUACCUCCCCACCUUCUCCUAAGCAAAAACCCACUCGCAAGGAGUAGAUUUGGGUGAAGAAAUAAUUGCUCUAUUUGCCCCAGAGGGGGAAAAAGAUGGUGAAAGGUUGUGCCAGCACUCGCGGUUAUACAGCCCAUCUAGUAAAAAACACUUCACGUGUGCAUAAAGCUUAGUUGUGAGUUUUAAAUGAGAACAUACAGGAGUGAAAUCCAGAUUUGUUCAGAAAUCCUCUUCAUGGCUUUAUCGUUCAGAUCUACCAACUAAACCAGGAUUAGAUACCCUGUUAUAAAAGACUAAAAGACCGCACUCGGAGUACGUAAUUCAUGGAAAAGAAUUUCUGAUGGCGGUCCUCAUUCCCUCUAGAGGCUUAUGAGAAUAAACGAAUCUGCCCGCAGAACUUCUCCCUUCUUAGACUAAAUCACCCUACCCACCACUGUCUGAAGAAUAGUUCAUCAACUUCCAAUCCUUUAUAGGCUGUAAGGCAAGCAACCGUGUAGGUUAUGGAGGGGUUGAGUUGUAAGCCAAUUUUACUAAUUUCAGAAGGUCUGAAAGCUCUUCUUACAGAGAAUUUAGAAGUAAAGUGCGUUUAAGAUACCCACUUGAAUGGUGCACUUGAGGACGUACAAAUUGCCCGUCACUCCCACUCACGUUUGGAGAAGUCGUAACACAGUUGCCCUACUGGAAAGUGGGGCAGGAUUAAU